AGGUGGUACAGAUAUGAGAAUACACGGUCCAUAGGGCAAGAAGAGACAGUAAUAGCUACCAUUUAUUGUGAGACUACUUUGUGCCGGGCACUUUAUUUGCAUUAUUUCUAAAACUUAAAAGAACAACAAAGUUAAAACCUCUUUAAGGUUGAUUUUUUUUUUUGUAAAGUAAGCUUUCAAAGUCAUUGCUUCUGAUGGUUACUUUCUAGGAUCGUGGCAUUUCUCUUUCUGACGUCAAGAUGUGAGGUUCAUCUCUACUACAAAUCUUUAUACUUCUCGGAACCUAAAAGUUCUUACACACGAUAAAGCUCCAGGAUUAAACUCUCAACCGAAGAGGAGUUUCUUUCUUUCUAAGAGUUCCAUAAAAAGUCCCAGGAAGACUCUCAGUUACCAGUCCCAGAUCACAUACUGCAGCCAGUGGUGGAUCGUAAACCAUGUGGGCUGGGAACAGGAAGGAAUGAUUGCUAAGGGGAGAUUGAGAGCUGCUGCUAAAGGAAGGGGAAUGGAUGCUGGCCAGAGGGGCAAACACACAAUGUGUACUACCAUACGGAGAGC